UACGUAGGGUGCAAGCGUUGUCCGGAUUUAUUGGGCGUAAAGAGCGUGUAGGCGGCCAGAUAGGUCUGCUGUGAAAACUCGAGGCUCAACCUCGAGAUGUCGGCGGAAACCAUUUGGCUAGAGUCCGGAAGAGGAAAGUGGAAUUCCUGGUGUAGCGGUGAAAUGCGCAGAUAUCAGGAAGAACACCCGUGGCGAAGGCGGCUUUCUGGGACGGUACUGACGCUGAGACGCGAAAGCGUGGGGAGCGAACAGG
rnacentral:rRNA from 1 species